rnacentral:rRNA from 1 species
UACGAAGGGGGCUAGCGUUGUUCGGAUUUACUGGGCGUAAAGCGUGCGCAGGCGGUUUUGUAAGCCAGAUGUGAAAUCCCCGGGCUUAACCUGGGAAUGGCAUUUGGGACUGCAAGGCUUGAGUGCGGCAGAGGAGACUAGAAUUCCUGGUGUAACAGUGAAAUGCGUAGAUAUCAGGAGGAAUACCGAUGGCGAAGGCAGGUCUCUGGGCUGACACUGACGCUCAUGCACGAAAGCGUGGGGAGCAAACAGG